rfam:Triticum aestivum genome assembly, contig: Triticum_aestivum_CS42_TGACv1_scaffold_412861_5BL
GAGAGCCGGAUGAGGGGAGACCCUCACGUCCGGUUUGGAGGGCGGGGAUAUCUCGACCUACUAUCAU